rnacentral:rRNA from 1 species
GGGGAUAAAUUAAUAAGGGGUAAUAGUUAAUAAAAGAAAUUUUAAUAUUAAAAUACCAUAAUGGGGGUUAUAGUAUUUUGAUAGAAAAAAUUUGAAAUUUUAUAGUGAAUUAGUAUUGUGGGAGAUUUUUGAAAUAGUUUAAAUAAAAAUUUUUAUAAAAGUAGUUUUUAUUUAAUUUAUCUUGUGUAUCAGAGUUUAUUAAUAAUUUUUUAUUUUAUAAAUUUCUCGAAUUUAAAAGGGAUAAUUAAUUAAUAAAGUUAUUGUGGCAAUAAUAUUUUUAAUAGUUAAUUAGAAAUGAAAUGUUAAUCGUUUUUAAAUAUAUCUAGUUUUUUUAGAAAAAAAUUUAAUUUUAAAUUUAAAUUUAAAAUUUAUUUAUUAAUAAAUAAAUUUUAAAUUUAAAUUUUAUAUUUUAGGGGAUAAGCUUUAAAUUAAAUUUAUAUAAUUAAAUGGGGGGUUUAAUUUAAAAUUUUAUUAUUUAAAUUGUAAAUGAAUUUUAAUUUAUUAUAAAUAAUUUAAUUAAUUUAAGAUUUAAUUUAAUUUAUAUUUUUAUAAAAAGGUAAUUUUUAAUAAUAAUAAUUUAAUAAUAAUGAUAAAAUUAGUAUAUAGAUUUUUGUUAGUAAAUGAAUAACUAAUUAAAAUUAAUAUAAAAGAAUUCGGCAAAAUUUUAUACUCACUUGUUUAUCAAAAACAUGUCUUUUUGUUAUAAUUUAAAGUCUAAUCUGCCCACUGAUAAAUAUUAAAGGGCUGCAGUAUUUUGACUGUACAAAGGUAGCAUAAUCAUUAGUCAUUUAAUUGGUGACUUGUAUGAAGGAUUGGAUGAGGUAUAUACUGUUUCUAUAUUAUAUUGUAGAAUUUAAUUUUUCAAUUAAAAAGUUGGGAUAUUUUAAAAAGACGAGAAGACCCUAUAGAGUUUUAUAUAGAUUUUAAUUAAUAUUUAUUUAUAAAAUUAAAAAAGGAAUUGAUUUUUAUAUUUUGUUGGGGUGACAAAAAAAUAAAAUUAACUUUUUUUACUAGAUAUACAUAAAUAAGUGAUUAUAUGAUCCAAUAUUAUUGAUUAUAAGAAAAAAUUACCUUAGGGAUAACAGCGUAAUUUUUUUUUUUAGUUCAUAUAAAAAGAAGAGUUUGCGACCUCGAUGUUGGAUUAAGAUAAAAUUUAAAUGUAGAAGUUUAAAGUUUUGAUCUGUUCGAUCAUUAAAAUCUUACAUGAUCUGAGUUCAAACCGGUGUGAGCCAGGUUGGUUUCUAUCUUUUAAUAAUAAAUAUAUUUUAGUACGAAAGGAAUUAAUAUCUAAAUUAAAUUUAAUAUUUUGAAUAUUAUUAAAAAUAUUUAUAAAUUUAUAUAACUUAAAUUUGUUCAAUAGCUAAGACU